AUUGAACGCUGGCGGCAGGCCUAACACAUGCAAGUCGAACGGUAACAGGAAACAGCUUGCUGUUUCGCUGACGAGUGGCGGACGGGUGAGUAAUGUCUGGGAAACUGCCUGAUGGAGGGGGAUAACUACUGGAAACGGUAGCUAAUACCGCAUAACGUCGCAAGACCAAAGAGGGGGACCUUCGGGCCUCUUGCCAUCGGAUGUGCCCAGAUGGGAUUAGCUAGUAGGUGGGGUAACGGCUCACCUAGGCGACGAUCCCUAGCUGGUCUGAGAGGAUGACCAGCCACACUGGAACUGAGACACGGUCCAGACUCCUACGGGAGGCAGCAGUGGGGAAUAUUGCACAAUGGGCGCAAGCCUGAUGCAGCCAUGCCGCGUGUAUGAAGAAGGCCUUCGGGUUGUAAAGUACUUUCAGCGGGGAAGAAGGGAGUAAAGUUAAUACCUUUGCUCAUUGACGUUACCCGCAGAAGAAGCACCGGCUAACUCCGUG
rnacentral:rRNA from 1 species